CCUACGGGGAGCAGCAGUGAGGAAUAUUGGUCAAUGGCCGGAAGGCUGAACCAGCCAUGCCGCGUGAAGGUCAGUGCCCUAUGGGCGUUAAACUUCUUUUGUGCGGGAGCAAGAAUGGGCACGUGUGGCCAGACGAGAGUACCGUACGAAUAAGCAACGGCGAACUCCGGGCCAGCAGCCGCGGUAAUACGGGGGAUGCAAGCGUUAUCCGGAUGUCUGGGGGUUAAAGGGUGCGUAGGCUGUGAGGUAAGUCAGCGGGGAAAUGCCCCCGCUCAACGGGGUGAAGGGCCAUUGAUACUGCCUUGCUGGACUGCGGAUGCCGUGGGCGUACUGUGUGGUGUCGCGG
rnacentral:rRNA from 1 species